GACGAACGCUGGCGGCGUGCUUAACACAUGCAAGUCGAACGGAAAGGCCCUGCUUGCAGGGUACUCGAGUGGCGAACGGGUGAGUAACACGUGGGUGUUCUGCCCUGCACUUCGGGAUAAGCCUGGGAAACUGGGUCUAAUACCGGAUAGGAGCCAUUUUUAGUGUGAUGGUUGGAAAGUUUUUUCGGUGUAGGAUGAGCUCGCGGCCUAUCAGGUUGUUGGUGGGGUAAUGGCCUACCAAGGCGGCGACGGGUAGCCGGCCUGAGAGGGUGGACGGCCACAUUGGGACUGAGAUACGGCCCAGACUCCUACGGGGGGCAGCAGUGGGGAAUAUUGCACAAUGGGCGCAAGCCUGAUGCAGCGACGCCGCGGGGGGGAUGACGGCCUUCGGGUUGGAAACUCCUUUCGCUAGGGACGAAGCUUUUUGUGACGGUACCUAGAUAAGAAGCACCGGCUAACUACGUG
rnacentral:rRNA from 1 species